CUCUCUCCUGCUGCCUUGUGAAGAAGGUGCGUGGCUUCCCCUUCGCCUUCUGCCAUGAUUUCUUUUUGAGAAUUCCUGAGAGUCAGGAAUUCAGGAGUGACUUACCUGGAUGGUUCCGGCUCAACAGUCUCCCAGGAAGCUGUAGUCAAUCAAUUGACAGAGGCUGUGGACUCUGGAGACUUGACUGAGGCUGGAGCAUCUGCAUUCAAGGUCAGUUACAUGACUGGUGGCAGGGAGUUCCAGUUCUUCGCCACACAAGCUUCUGUGUAGGACGGCUCGAGACAUGGUUCUCCACAAACUGAGUGACCCAAGAAGAGAGUGACAGCACCCGAGAAUGGAGCUGGUGUUUUUAUAACUGAAUCUUGAAAGUGAUAUGCCGUCCCUUCUUCUGAAUUCCAUUUGUUGGAAGUGAGUCUUUAGCAUUGUGUAUUGAUAACAAUGAGAUUGAUGAUUUGUUCCUGGUCUUGGUGAGACCCCUGGAGGACUGUGCUUUUGGGACUGGUGACACAGCAAGAAACAUGCCCACAUGAGCAGCAGGGUAUAUGACACCCUGGUGGAAACUCCAGCUUGGGACUCCCAGUUCUGAGGUGUUCUGUGACACAUGGGUGACUCUAGAGAGAAGGUAUGUCUUGCGUGGCUCUUUCAGAGGUGGACCAA